rnacentral:rRNA from 1 species
AAUGAACGCUGGCGGCGCGCCUAAUACAUGCAAGUCGAGCGAGAAGACGUAGCAAUACGUUUGUAAAGCGGCGAACGGGUGAGGAAUACAUGAGUAACCUACCCUAGAGUGGGGAAUAACUAGCCGAAAGGUUAGCUAAUACCGCGUACGCUCCUUGGACUUCGGUUCAGGGAGGAAAGCGAUGCCGAGGGUAUCGCGCUCUUGGAUGGGCUCAUGUCCUAUCAGCUUGNGGUGAGGUAACGGCUCACCAAGGCUUCGACGGGUAGCUGGUCUGAGAGGACGAUCAGCCACACUGGCACUGCGACACGGGCCAGACCUCCGUACGGGA